AAGGAUCCUGCCGCCGUUCGGACGGGUGAGUAAGGGAAAUAUACACCCCCACCCAAAGAGCUCGCGUCCGAUUAGCUAGUUGGUNAGGUAAAGGCUGACCAAGGCGACGAUCGGUAGCUGGUCUGAGAGGAUGAUCAGCCACACUGGGACUGANACACGGCCCAGACUCCUACGGGAGGCAGCAGUGGGGAAUUUUCCGCAAUGGGCGAAAGCCUGACGGAGCAAUACCGCGUGNGGGACGAAGGCUUUUGGGUCGUAAACCUCUUUUGUUAGGGAAGAAGAACUGACGGUACCUAANGAAUCANCCUCNGCUAACUCCGUGCCAGCANCCGCGGUAAUACGGAGGAUGCAAGCGUUAUCCGGAAUUAUUGGGCGUAAAGCGUCCGCAGGUGGUUUAUCAAGUCUGCUGUUAAANCGUGGGGCUUAACCCUAUAUAGGCAGUGGAAACUGAAAGACUAGAGUACGGUAGGGGUANCGGGAAUUCCCAGUGUAGCGGUGAAAUGCGUANAUAUUGGGAANAACACCCGCGGCGAAGGCGCGCUACUGGGCCAAAACUGACACUCAUGGACNAAAGCUAGGGGAGCGAAAGGGAUUAAAUACCCCUGUAAUCAAGGGAA
rnacentral:rRNA from 1 species